rnacentral:rRNA from 1 species
GACGAACGCUGGCGGCGCGCCUAACACAUGCAAGUCGAACGAGCGAGAGAGAGCUUGCUUUCUCAAGCGAGUGGCGAACGGGUGAGUAACGCGUGAGGAACCUGCCUCAAAGAGGGGGACAACAGUUGGAAACGACUGCUAAUACCGCAUAAGCCCACAGGUCGGCAUCGACCAGAGGGAAAAGGAGCAAUCCGCUUUGAGAUGGCCUCGCGUCCGAUUAGCUAGUUGGUGAGGUAACGGCCCACCAAGGCGACGAUCGGUAGCCGGACUGAGAGGUUGAACGGCCACAUUGGGACUGAGACACGGCCCAGACUCCUACGGGAGGCAGCAGUGGGGAAUAUUGCACAAUGGGGGAAACCCUGAUGCAGCGACGCCGCGUGGAGGAAGAAGGUCUUCGGAUUGUAAACUCCUGUUGUUGAGGAAGAUAAUGACGGUACUCAACAAGGAAGUGACGGCUAACUACGUGCCAGCAGCCGCGGUAAAACGUAGGUCACAAGCGUUGUCCGGAAUUACUGGGUGUAAAGGGAGCGCAGGCGGGAAGACAAGUUGGAAGUGAAAUCUAUGGGCUCAACCCAUAAACUGCUUUCAAAACUGUUUUUCUUGAGUAGUGCAGAGGUAGGCGGAAUUCCCGGUGUAGCGGUGGAAUGCGUAGAUAUCGGGAGGAACACCAGUGGCGAAGGCGGCCUACUGGGCACCAACUGACGCUGAGGCUCGAAAGUGUGGGUAGCAAACAGGAUUAGAUACCCUGGUAGUCCACACCGUAAACGAUGAUUACUAGGUGUUGGAGGAUUGACCCCUUCAGUGCCGCAGUUAACACAAUAAGUAAUCCACCUGGGGAGUACGACCGCAAGGUUGAAACUCAAAGGAAUUGACGGGGGCCCGCACAAGCAGUGGAGUAUGUGGUUUAAUUCGACGCAACGCGAAGAACCUUACCAAGUCUUGACAUCCUGCGACGCACAUAGAAAUAUGUGUUUCCUUCGGGACGCAGAGACAGGUGGUGCAUGGUUGUCGUCAGCUCGUGUCGUGAGAUGUUGGGUUAAGUCCCGCAACGAGCGCAACCCUUACUGUCAGUUACUACGCAAGAGGACUCUGGCAGGACUGCCGUUCGACAAAACGGAGGAAGGUGGGGAUGACGUCAAAUCAUCAUGCCCUUUAUGACUUGGGCUACACACGUACUACAAUGGCGUUAAACAAAGAGAAGCAAGACCGCGAGGUGGAGCAAAACUCAGAAACAACGUCCCAGUUCGGACUGCAGGCUGCAACUCGCCUGCACGAAGUCGGAAUUGCUAGUAAUCGUGGAUCAGCAUGCCACGGUGAAUACGUUCCCGGGCCU